ACCAGCCAUGGCGCGGCGGCUUCCUUCGACGGUUUUUGUCUCUUCAAAUUUCGUGUUCUAGGCUUUCAUCGUAUCUCCAGUUUCGUUUUUUUCUUUAUUUUCUACGCUCGUAGCUUUAGACAUCCCUAGUCUAUUCGGUGGGAGCUGUUUUAGAAACACGAUUAUUUUGGUUGGAUCAUUUUUGGAGAGCUCAGAGUAGGGAGUGGGGCUAUCCUCGGGCGAUCCUGAGCUCGUCUUGUUAUUCUUGGUAUUCGCAUAAGUGCUGUACGAAUUCGCUAAUUAGUGGCAAUUAUUGUGUGCAGGAUUUGGUUUCUGAGUUAAAUAUUCGUUAGGAUUGAUCAGAGCUGUGUAUUCAUUCAGUGCCCUGCGUCAAUUGCUCGAACAACUUCAAAGUCUCCAGAUUCAGGCUUACAAAAGUUCAAAUCCUGAAAACAACAGCUUCAUGAUCUCCACCAAACUAUAUCAAGUCUAGCUUCCAGACUUUCGAUUCCACAUCUGUACAAAGCCCCACCGUAGUACGCAAGGGUAAAUGUUCUGGUAUGCUAUCUGCUGAUGUCUUUGAAAAGUUAUCAAUAUUCAUAUUUAUCUAAUCCAGCGGAAAAUACUACAAACUAGCAUAACUAUGUAAGAACAUUUAAAUUUUUUAGUAUCUUUUUACAUACUUAUAGAAGAUUUGAAUUUUCAUCUGGAAUAAAUCUUAAUCACAUAAUAUUAAAUUCAUUUGCUGUAAGCAAUAUUUAAGAGUCAACUUACUUACUGAUUAUUUUCCUCCAUAGUUACAACGUUUAUGCCAAUGUUGUUGUGCAUAAAAGGAAAACAAUUUUAAUUCCAAAAAAUUAACAUAAUGAUACACACUAAUCAUUUAAAAUGAUUGAUGGUUUUUUCAACAUGUUCAUAUGUACUUACUUAUGUAUGUUUCUCAAAGUUUGUUGUCCUCGAAUUAAAAGUUCAAAAUGUAAAGAAGGAAGCUUAAACUAUA